rnacentral:SRP_RNA from 1 species
GCCAGGUGCAGUGGUGCGUGCCUAUAGUCCCAGCUACUCGGGAGGCUGAGGUGGGAAGAUCGCUUGAGCCCAGGAGUUCUGGGUUGUAGUGUGCUAUGCCAAUCGGGUGUGCACACUAAGUUCAGCAUCAAUAUAGUGACCUCCCAGGAGCAGGGGACCACCAGGUUGCCUAAGGAGGGGUGAACCGGCCCAGGUCGGAAACGGAGCAGGUCAAAACUCCCGUGAUGAUCAGUAGUGGGAUCGCGCCUGUGAAUAGCCACUGCACUCCAGCCUGGGAAACACAGCAAGACCCCGUCUUA